GAUGAACGCUAGCGGCAGGCUUAAUACAUGCAAGUCGUGGGGCAGCAGGUCUGUAGCAAUACAGAUGCUGGCGACCGGCAAACGGGUGCGGAACACGUACACAACUUUCCUUUAAGUGGGGAAUAGCCCAGAGAAAUUUGGAUUAAUACCCCGUAACAUAGUGAAAAGGCAUCUUUUUAUUAUUAUAGCAGCAAUGCGCUUAAUGAUGGGUGUGCGUCUGAUUAGGUAGUUGGCGGAGUAAUAGCCCACCAAGCCUACGAUCAGUAACUGGUGCGAGAACACGACCAGUCCCACGGGCACUUGGCGACGGGCCCGACUCCUACGGGAGGCAGCAGUAAGGAAUAUUGGGCAAUGGACGCAAGUCUGACCCAGCCAUGCCGCGUGGAGGAUGAAGGUCCUCUGGAUUGUAAACUUCUUUUAUCUGGGAAGAAAUCCAUCUUUUCUUGGGUGGUUGACGGUACCAGAUGAAUAAGCACCGGCUAACUCCGUGCCAGCCGCCGCUGUAAUAC
rnacentral:rRNA from 1 species